AUUGAACGCUGGCGGCAUGCCUUACACAUGCAAGUCGAACGGUAACAGGUCUUCGGAUGCUGACGAGUGGCGAACGGGUGAGUAAUACAUCGGAACGUGCCCGAGAGUGGGGGAUAACGAGGCGAAAGCUUUGCUAAUACCGCAUACGAUCUCAGGAUGAAAGCAGGGGACCGCAAGGCCUUGCGCUCACGGAGCGGCCGAUGGCAGACUAGGUAGUUGGUGGGAUAAAAGCUUACCAAGCCGACGAUCUGUAGCUGGUCUGAGAGGACGACCAGCCACACUGGGACUGGGACACGGCCCAGACUCCGACGGGAGGCAGCAGUGGGGAAUUUUGGACAAUGGGCGCAAGCCUGAUCCAGCCAUGCCGCGUGCAGGAUGAAGGCCUUCGGGUUGUAAACUGCUUUUGUACGGAACGAAAAGACUUCUUCUAGUAAAGGGGGUCCAUGACGGUACCGUAAGAAUAAGCACCGGCUAACUACGUGCCAGCAGCCGCCGUAAUAC
rnacentral:rRNA from 1 species